UGAUCCUGCCGGACCUGACUGCUAUCGGAUUGAUACUAAGCCAUGCUAGUCUUUGUAGUAAUACAAGGCAUACGGCUCAGUAACGCGUAGUCAACCUACCCUAUGGACGGGGAUAAUCUCGGGAAACUGAGCAUAAUACCCGACAGACCACUUCUCCUGGAAUGGUUAGUGGUUAAAAUGAUUCGUCGCCAUAGGAUGGGACUGCGGCCUAUCAGCUUGUUGGUGAGGUAAUGGCCCACCAAGGCGAUUACAGGUACGGGCUCUGAGAGGAGAGGCCCGGAGAUGGGUACUGAGACAAGGACCCAGGCCCUAUGGGGCGCAGCAGGCGAGAAAACUUUGCAAUGUGCGAAAGCACGACAAGGUUAAUCCGAGUGAUUUCUGCUAAAGGAAUCUUUUGUUAGUUCUAAAAAUACUAGUGAAUAAGGGGUGGGCAAGUUCUGGUGUCAGCCGCCGCGGUAAAACCAGCACCUCAAGUGGUCAGGAGGAUUAUUGGGCCUAAAGCAUCCGUAGCCUGUUCUAUAAGUUUGCGGUUAAAUCUAUACGCUCAACGUAUAGGCUGCCGUAAAUACUGUAGAACUAGGGAGUGGGAGAGGUAGACGGUACUCGAUAGGAAGGGGUAAAAUCCUUUGAUUUAUUGAUGACCACCUGUGGCGAAGGCGGUCUACCAGAACACGUUCGACGGUGAGGGAUGAAAGCUGGGGGAGCAAACCGGAUUAGAUACCCGGGUAGUCCCAGCUGUAAACGAUGCAGACUCGAUGAUGCAAUGGCAUAGAGCUAUUGCAGUAUCGCAGGGAAGCCGUUAAGUCUGCCGCCUGGGAAGUACGUACGCAAGUAUGAAACUUAAAGGAAUUGGCGGGGGAGCACCACAAGGGGUGAAGCCUGCGGUUCAAUUGGAUUCAACGCCGGG
rnacentral:rRNA from 1 species